CGACGUGGUGACCCACGACGUAAAAGCUUUUGAUUACCCGUCUUUGAUCACUGGAGAAAUAACCCAACCCAACCCCCCGGGUUGACCUCUGCGGGUCCCGGUCAGCUCGGGGGAGGCGCGAUCACUCACAUGGGUGAAGUGUGCCAACCGAGCUGGAUUUUGGCCCUGUUGGCGGGCAUAUGCUCACGCUGACCACAACCCAGACAUUGAGACGGCCCCCGGCCGGGACUGGCAUCCCGACCGAAGGCCUCACCACCCAGGAAGAGAUCGCUUCCCU
rnacentral:ncRNA from 1 species